rnacentral:lncRNA from 1 species
UGUCUGUAUGUGUGUGUGUGUGUGUGUGUGUAUAUAUAUAUAUAUAUAGUGUAUGUUUUUCUUUUUAUUAAAGUGAAAGCAUCAGUGGACCAGAGCAGUGCACGCUUGGGAAGCUCCCAGCCAGGGCACCACCAUGACCUCAGCUGUUUGGGCCCACAGGCCACAGCAAAAAAGCCUGCCUGAAAUAGAGCUGCACAAAUGCACAAGCAAUAGCAAGGGGCCUGCCCAGAUUCCAUUAGUAAGUGCACACAAAUCCUAGUAAGAAGCCAGUGUGGAGAAGAGUGGCACGGGUGUGGGCAGGUCCCAAACAGGGCUCCACCAAAACCCCAGCAGCUUGAUCACAGAGGCCCCAGCCAAAGACCAGCCUGGAAAAGAGCUGAAGAGGCACACAAGCAACAUCCAGAGACCUGCCAAGAUACCAUUGGUAAAUGCCUACAGACCCCAGCCAGAAGCCUGUUCAGACACCAGCAACUUGGAGUCUCAGACCCCAGACCUCCAACACCUAAGUAGGAGGGCAGGCUCUAGCCAGUGGCAUGCCCAGAUACCAUCCCAAGUGUGCACAUCCCUCAGCCAGAGCAAGCAAAAGAUAACUCAAUAUCUGUAUUUCCAAUGGGUUUUAAAAGGUGAAGAAACCUACCUUUGUUCUCAAGAGCUCUUCAAGAUUUUCCACACCACAGGGGAGAGAUGUAGAGAAGUGAAGUCAGUAUAGAUGAUGGUAGACCACAGAGAGAAAAGAUUCUCUUAUUUGAUUCCAUUCCAGACACUCAGGGUAAAGAUGAAAGCAGCAGAGAAAUUCAAGUGAACCAUGAAAAUAGCAGUCUUCUGCCAUGAAGGAGCCAACUGAAAGGAAAGUCAACAUUUAUGGGUUGCCUCUGUGAGGUGAUGCCUGAGGAUACAAUGACACUUGUCCUUGGGCAUAUAUGAACCCAUAGCUCAAGCAUUAGAUACCACAGGAUUAUGCAAAUUUUCUGUUUUCCUCCUGGUUGAAAGGGAC